ensembl:lncRNA novel transcript
GCUUGGCUCAGAACUUCUCCUUGCUGCUUCCGUGUAAAGAAGGAUGUGUUUGCUUCUCCUUCCACCAUGAUUGCUGUUCUGAUCAUGAUCAAGCCCAAGACAGAGCGAUGGGCGUGGCUUCCCCAAAGGUGUUUAUGAAUCCAAAAUCUGAGAGAGAGAAGACAAGAUGAAGUCACAGUCUAGUCAUUGCCUCAACACCAGUCAUUCCUACUCCCACCCAGACAACAUCAUCUCCACUCCCAAGCCCGAAAUGCUCCCUGCCAUGCCUUCGAGGCUGAGGUCUGGGAAGAAAACUCUAAGAAGAGAGAAAAGGGCACCAGUAUGGAGACCCUAGAAUAUAAAAAGCAGACUUAGCCUGUCUAACCUGUUCCUUGACUUGGCCAUGAUCCCAGGAAUGGAGGAAGGAUCUUCCUUUUCUUCCUCCUCCUGGAGAGGCAUCAGAGCAUGGGCCCUGGCUCUGUUACUCCCUGGCUGGGGAAGUUACUUACCUACUCCGUGUCUCAGUUUUACUUAUCUCUAAAAGGGGUAGAGUAACAGCACUCACUGGAGUGGAGUGUGGUUAUGCCUCCCAGCCUCUCCUUCAGAACUAGGUUACUUAUUCCCUCAGCUGCAAGGAGUGUUAGCUGCGGACUGCUCACAACGGAGUCUCUUCUAGGGAUUGCCCUCAACCGAAGGAAGCUGCAUUGCCCAAGAUGAGAUCCCCUCGCUGGGGCAUCCUGCAUCCAAUGACAAGUCAGUGGGGCGUACGAAGGCCUGGCUUCCUCAUCUCGAUUGGACAUCUCCAAAGGGCCAUCCCAGUUUCUGAUCUCCCCGUAGAAUCUCCUGAAGCCUCUGUUGUGACUGCAUCAGAGCCCAACCUCUCUCUCUACCCAAUCCAGUCUCCUUUCCUUCUCACAGGUGUUGUUCCCAAAACUCAGUAAACUGCCUACACGCAAA